rnacentral:rRNA from 1 species
CAGCAGCCACGGUAAUACGAAGGGUGCAAGCGUUAAUCGGAAUUACUGGGCGUAAGGCGUGCGUAGGCGGUUUGUUAAGUCUGCUGUGAAAUCCCCGGGCUCAACCUGGGAAUGGCAGUGGAUACUGGCAAGCUAGAGUGUGUCAGAGGAUGGUGGAAUUCCCGGUGUAGCGGUGAAAUGCGUAGAGAUCGGGAGGAACAUCAGUGGCGAAGGCGGCCAUCUGGGACAACACUGACGCUGAGGCACGAAAGCGUGGGGAGCAAACAGGAUUAGAUACCCCUGUAGUCCCUGUCUCUUAUAC